rnacentral:rRNA from 1 species
GAUGAACGCUGGCGGCGUGCCUAAUACAUGCAAGUCGAGCGAACGGACGAGAAGCUUGCUUCUCUGAUGUUAGCGGCGGACGGGUGAGUAACACGUGGAUAACCUACCUAUAAGACUGGGAUAACUUCGGGAAACCGGAGCUAAUACCGGAUAAUAUUUUGAACCGCAUGGUUCAAAAGUGAAAGACGGUCUUGCUGUCACUUAUAGAUGGAUCCGCGCUGCAUUAGCUAGUUGGUAAGGUAACGGCUUACCAAGGCAACGAUGCAUAGCCGACCUGAGAGGGUGGUCGGCCACACUGGAACUGAGACACGGUCCAGACUCCUACGGGAGGCAGCAGUAGGGUAUCUUCCGCAAUGGGCGAAAGCCUGACGGAGCAACGCCGCGUGAGUGAUGAAGGUCUUCGGAUCGUAAAACUCUGUUAUUAGGGAAGAACAUAUGUGUAAGUAACUGUGCACAUCUUGACGGUACCUAAUCAGAAAGCCACGGCUAACUACGUG